UUUGCGAAGUAAAAGUCGUAACAAGGUCUCCGUUGGUGAACCAGCGGAGGGAUCAUUACAGAGUUGCAAAACUCCCAAACCAUUGUGAACGUUACCUUACCGUUGCUUCGGCGGGCGGCUCCGGGUCUCCCGGCGCCCCUCGGCCCCCUCGCGGGGCGCCCGCCGGAGGAUACCCAACUCUUGAUUACUUAUGGCCACUCUGAGUCUUCUGUACUGAAUAAGUCAAAACUUUCAACAACGGAUCUCUUGGUUCUGGCAUCGAUGAAGAACGCAGCGAAAUGCGAUAAGUAAUGUGAAUUGCAGAAUUCAGUGAAUCAUCGAAUCUUUGAACGCACAUUGCGCCCGCCAGUAUUCUGGCGGGCAUGCCUGUUCGAGCGUCAUUUCAACCAUCAAGCCCCCGGCUUGUGUUGGGGACCUGCGGCUGCCCGCAGGCCCUGAAAACCAGUGGCGGGCUCGCUGUCACACCGAGCGUAGUAGCAUAUCAUCUCGCUCAGGGCGUGCUGCGGGUUCCGGCCGUUAAACGACCUUCAUAACCCAAGGUUGACCUCGGAUCAGGUAGGAAGACCCGCUGAACUUAAGCAUAUCAAUAAGCGGAGGAAAAGAAACCAACAGGGAUUGCCCUAGUAACGGCGAGUGAAGCGGCAACAGCUCAAAUUUGAAAUCUGGCCUCGGCCCGAGUUGUAAUUUGCAGAGGAAGCUUUAGGCGCGGCACCUUCUGAGUCCCCUGGAACGGGGCGCCAUAGAGGGUGAGAGCCCCGUAUAGUUGGAUGCCUAGCCUGUGUAAAGCUCCUUCGACGAGUCGAGUAGUUUGGGAAUGCUGCUCAAAAUGGGAGGUAAAUUUCUUCUAAAGCUAAAUACCGGCCAGAGACCGAUAGCGCACAAGUAGAGUGAUCGAAAGAUGAAAAGCGCUUUGAAAAGAGGGUUAAAUAGCACGUGAAAUUGUUGAAAGGGAAGCGCUUGUGACCAGACUUGCGCCGGGCUGAUCAUCCGGUGUUCUCACCGGUGCACUCUGCCCGGCUCAGGCCAGCAUCGGUUCUCGCGGGGGGAUAAAGGCCCAGGGAAUGUAGCUCCUCCGGGAGUGUUAUAGCCCGGGGUGCAAUGCCCUCGCGGGGACCGAGGUUCGCGCAUCUGCAAGGAUGCUGGCGUAAUGGUCAUCAGCGACCCGUCUUGAAACACGGACC
rnacentral:rRNA from 1 species